rnacentral:lncRNA from 1 species
UGAAAGUGUGAGAACAAACAAACCAAUUUUGUUUAUCAAAAACACAAACUGAGAUCUGCAAAGGAAAGAGAGAGAUUGAGAGAGUAUAAGAAAAAUUAGAGAAAUAUAUAUAGGCAAUAUAAAGUGUCAAAUAUGAAAUUUGAGUACCAAACUACCAAAGGGAAAAGAAGAAGCUAUACUAAUAUUUAGAGAGAGAAAUUACUUGAAUAAAUUGUGGGGGAACAAAGUGAAGCUGUAGAGAGAGAUCUCCCAAAGAAAGACUUAGAGGAAACACAACAACAUAUGUAUCAAAGAAAGAUGAAGUUUCGUAUGAAUGAGUGAAUUAACAAGUAGAAAAUGAAUGAUAAUGUUGUUUGGUUACUGAAAUUCUGAAAAUAAAUUAUAUGUACUACCUACCUCUUUG